rnacentral:rRNA from 1 species
AGCGAACGCUGGCGGCAGGCCUAACACAUGCAAGUCGAACGGACCUUUCGGGGUUAGUGGCGGACGGGUGAGUAACACGUGGGAACGUGCCUUUAGGUUCGGAAUAGCUCCUGGAAACGGGUGGUAAUGCCGAAUGUGUCCUUAGGGGGAAAGAUUUAUCGCCUUUAGAGCGGCCCGCGUCUGAUUAGCUAGUUGGUGAGGUAAUGGCUCACCAAGGCUACGAUCAGUAGCUGGUCUGAGAGGAUGACAAGCCACAUUGGGGCUGAGACACGGCCCAAACUCCUACGGGAGGCAGCAGUGGGGAAUCUUGCGCAAUGGGCGAAAGCCUGACGCAGCCAUGCCGCGUGGAUGAUGAAGGUCUUAGGAUUGUAAAAUCCUUUCACCGGUGAAGAUAAUGACUGUAGCCGGAGAAGAAGCCCCGGCUAACUUCGUGCCAGCCGCCGCAGUAA